rnacentral:rRNA from 1 species
AUUGAACGCCGGCGGCAUGCUUAACACAUGCAAGUCGAACGGCAGCGAGGUUAGAGCUUGCUCUAACUGUCGGCGAGUGGCGGACGGGUGAGUAAUGCGUAGGUAUCUGCCUAUUGGAGGGGGACAACUUGUGGAAACGCAAGCUAAUACCGCAUAAUACCUAAGGGUUAAAGCAGGGGACCUUCGGGCCUUGCGCUAAUAGAUGAGCCUACGUCAGAUUAGCUAGUUGGUAGGGUAAAGGCCUACCAAGGCGAUGAUCUGUAGCUGGUCUGCGAGGAUGAUCAGCCACACUGGGACUGAGACACGGCCCAGACUCCUACGGGAGGCAGAAGUGGGGAAUAUUGGACAAUGGGCGGAAGCCUGAUCCAGCAAUGCCGCGUGUGUGAAGAAGGCCCUAGGGUUGUAAAGCACUUUCAGGGGUGAGUAAGUGACAUAGGUUAAUACCCUGUGUUGUUGACGUUAGCCUCAGAAGAAGCACCGGCUAACUCUGUGCCAGCCGCCGCCGUAACAC